AACCAUAGAAACCUGCGGAGUACCUGCGGAGGGAUCAUUAACCGUUACAAACAGUGUGUGAUGCGGCCGCCGAGGCGAAUAGCCUCUGGUUGGUAUGGGGUUCGCCCCUUCACGCUCACGCGUCUGCCAUCCUUACUUUACGAGCACCUUCUGUUCUCCCUCGGCAAGGGCCUCGCCCUGCCGUUGGAACUACAAAACUCUUUUUUGCAUCUAGCAUUACCUGUUCCGACAAAAACAAUC
rnacentral:misc_RNA from 1 species